GACGAACGCUGGCGGCGUGCUUAACACAUGCAAGUCGAACGGAAAGGCCCUGCUUUUGUGGGGUGCUCGAGUGGCGAACGGGUGAGUAACACGUGAGUAACCUGCCCUUGACUUUGGGAUAACUUCAGGAAACUGGGGCUAAUACCGGAUAGGAGCUCCUGCUGCAUUGUGGGGGUUGGAAAGUUUCGGCGGUUGGGGAUGGACUCGCGGCUUAUCAGCUUGUUGGUGGGGUAGUGGCUUACCAAGGCUUUGACGGGUAGCCGGCCUGAGAGGGUGACCGGCCACAUUGGGACUGAGAUACGGCCCAGACUCCUACGGGAGGCAGCAGUGGGGAAUAUUGCACAAUGGGCGGAAGCCUGAUGCAGCAACGCCGCGUGCGGGAUGACGGCCUUCGGGUUGUAAACCGUUUUCGCCUGUGACGAAGCGUGAGUGACGGUAAUGGGUAAAGAAGCACCGGCUAACUACGUG
rnacentral:rRNA from 1 species